GGCCUAUCAGCUUGUUGGUGAGGUAAUGGCUUACCAAGGCGACGACGGGUAGCCGGCCUGAGAGGGUGACCGGCCACACUGGGACUGAGACACGGCCCAGACUCCUACGGGAGGCAGCAGUGGGGAAUAUUGCACAAUGGGCGAAAGCCUGAUGCAGCGACGCCGCGUGAGGGAUGACGGCCUUCGGGUUGUAAACCUCUUUCAGUAGGGAAGAAGCGAAGGUGACGGUACCUGCAGAAGAAGCGCCGGCUAACUACGUGCCAGCAGCCGCGGUAAUACGUAGGGCGCAAGCGUUAUCCGGAAUUAUUGGGCGUAAAGAGCUCGUAGGCGGUUUGUCGCGUCUGCCGUGAAAGUCCGGGGCUCAACUCCGGAUCUGCGGUGGGUACGGGCAGACUAGAGUGAUGUAGGGGAGACUGGAAUUCCUGGUGUAGCGGUGAAAUGCGCAGAUAUCAGGAGGAACACCGAUGGCGAAGGCAGGUCUCUGGGCAUUAACUGACGCUGAGGAGCGAAAGCAUGGGGAGCGAACAGGAUUAGAUACCCUGGUAGUCCAUGCCGUAAACGUUGGGCACUAGGUGUGGGGGACAUUCCACGUCUUCCGCGCCGUAGCUAACGCAUUAAGUGCCCCGCCUGGGGAGUACGGAAGCUUGGAAUUCGC
rnacentral:rRNA from 1 species